UGCAUUCGGUGGGAUCGACUGCUCAGUGUGGGAUUUGGUGAGGGGAAGGCAUGCGGCUUACAGAGAGGAGGAGAGAUAGAGGGGGAGGGAGAGAGCGUUCUGCAGCACGCUUGCAGUUUUCGUUCAGAUCCAGGUUCUGUGCAAGGAAGGGGACAUAUGAAUCCUGCUCUUGAUGAUUCAAUAUGUCAUCAAACAUUACUUAGGCUUCUAAUUUCAUACAGAAAUCGAAAACCCAUUUGGGAUGUCUUAUCUGGUCACUUCUCUCUAUGGUGGUCCCUUAGAGUUUACGUUUAUUGUGCAAAGCACAGAAGACCCUGCUUAUCAGGCUGUAUCUAUGCUACUAACAGAGCUUAAGGACGAGGUUGAUGUUAAGAUUGUUGUGGCUGGUAUUUCAACAACCUGCAGUCAGAAAAAUCACAACCAAUUGCAAAAAACCUUGCGGCGAGCAAACAGGCACAACCAAUUCUGCCAGAAUUGCUGGAGAAUUCCACAACCAAGGUCAUCGAGUACGGCCGGAAGCAUGUUGAGGGUCGAGAUGGCGAAAGCACCAAUGUUGGCAAGAGCUGCGACCCAGUCUUCACUGAUUUGAAGUUUGAGUUUGUUUGUGAUUUUUUUUUUCUUUUGGAUUUGUAAUUUAUCCUUUUGUACCUGACAAUUUGUGAUCCAAAAUUUUUUUCGCGCGUUUUGAUUUUCCUGUGAAUUUAUAUGGGUUUAGAUUUUUAUUGUUAAUUUACUGAUGUUGGGGGAUCAUUUUGGCUUCUAGAUUGGUUUGAACAUUUUUCUGUCUUUGUUUUUUCUUUUGUGAAGUUUUAGUCAGAUUGAAGUGUUCUUUUCAAUUUGAGAUUUAAUUGAAGUGUUUAGGAUUAUCUACAUAUAUAUAAUCAAUGUUGAAAUUUUAAACUAAAUCACUAUGCUGCAAUCAAACCCACAGAUUGUUGGGUCCAAAAGAAGAAGAAGAAGGCGUGAACAACAUGAAAUUGGCUUUGGAAAAGCCAAAGACAUUCUCGACGAUGAUGAUAAUGGAGUUCAGGAUUAUGAUUCAUCCCGAACAACAAGGAUGGAUAUGCUGUCUAUGCCAACAUGGGGGUAAGGCUAUGUUGGAGCAAAAACUGUGCAGGCAAAGACAUAAGAGUGAUGGAUUUUGGAAUGAAAUGCAGAGGAUAUCAUUUUGUGCUGCUUAAGGGUCUAUAUGCACAGGAGAGCUCAGCAUGAGGGUGCUGUUGGUUUACCUUGCCUGGAUGUGUUGCGUUGCGGGGUUGUUCAAGAAAAAAGGUUUUAAAGGAUCCUUUGCAGAUGCAGGAUCUUCUGCUAAGACAUUUGCAGUUUUGUCCGGAUUGUGUGAGCCGUUGCUUCAGCCAAAACAGGUGCUCGCUCCAUUUUUCAUCUCUUCCAUACUCAAACCCUAGCCGCUUCACCUCUCUCUCCCACACAUAAGCAAACUCCAUUUGAAAGCCGUAGAAUCCAAAGGAACAACAGGGAUUGUAGACUACACAAACUUGGAAGAUAUGAAGUACGCGAUCAAAAAGCUUGAUGGCUCUGAGUUUUGAAAUGCUUUUGACCGCCAAUCUGUUCGCGUAUGAAUCUUACAAGUUGAAAAUUUAUUUUCUUUCCUCCUGUAUUUUUGUUUAUCUGUUGCUCUGUUGGGUUUUUUUCCAAUAACUCAAAGGGCCGAAAGGUAUUCCCUUUUCAUAUUCUUCUCUCCCAAUUUCUUUAGAGUUAAUUUCAAUUUUCUUAUGCUAUUUGCCGGGGUGCUGUUUAGGGUUUAACUAUUUGAUUUCACAGAUUCAUUUCAGACACGGUUGGUGAAGGACAUGGGGAGAAGAGCACUUUGGAAAUGGUAAGGUGCACAAAUAUGGAAAAAGCACGACAGGGGAAAGCUGGGAUAUUGUUGUGGAUGAGGAGACCUAUUACGAGGCUGAGCUGUCAAUUAAACCUCGAGAAAGGCCACAUGGCGUCUACCCUGCCCUUGAUUUUGGAUCGUCGUCGCUUUCAGUUGAUGAACCACCAGAUGAAUUUUCUCUAAUAUCGUGCGGCUCAAAAAAAUUUGUAUGUGUUUACGUGUAUUUUUGUGCUCUGAAUAAUUCUAAUCAAAUUCCAUUGCUCUCCUAAGCUAAAGUCAGAAUUUGUAGCAUAUAAGGGAAGGUUAGCAGAUACUUGCCAAUUAUCCAAAGCUGGAUAUUAAGGUCUUUAAGCUUAAUAUCUUUUUGUAGGUGUAGCAUCUGCUUGGAAAAAGGUUUCAACUUUAAUGUCUGUACGUGUCAUUACUCUUCAUUGAUUGUGAAGAACCAGGAUUAAAGAAAAGCAUCCUUUAAAGUUUAAACUGGAAGGGGGCAGGUUAUAAAUUACAGGUGAAAUGAAAUUAGAAAUAUAUAGUCUUAUGAUUUGUGUCUAAAAACAUAAUAAAUGAUAUUAGAUCCAUCCAUGUUAAUAAUAAGAUUGUUAUUUA